GUCAACAUCACCGUUUCAUGCUCUUCAAGUUUCCUUUUGUUAGAAAGGAUAUCUUUCAUGAACUUCGCAUAACUCGGCAUUUGAGCCAGAGCAUCUGCAAACGGAAUGUUAAUGUGUAGCUUUUUAAACACCUCCAAAAACUUACCAAAUUGAAUAUCCAGUUUAUGCUUCUGGAGCCUUUGAGGGAAAGGAAUAGGAGGUACAUAGGCUUUGACUGGAAUUGGAGUCUUUGAUGUUAAUGGCUCCUGUUCAUCAGUCUUACCUUCUUCAACAACCUCUUUAGGUGCU
rnacentral:lncRNA from 1 species